rnacentral:lncRNA from 1 species
GCACAACCAUUAAGACCCUCAUCUAUAGUGGACUGGAACAAAGCACAGUCCAUGUUACACUUAGGUUAAAAAGAAGAAUGAAAACCCCUCAAGCCAGAUUUUAUGACUUUUUAUAUCACACUGAAAAGUCCAAUGAACUACAGAUUUCAACCAUGGAGAUUUGUGCCCUACUAUGAAACGGUGACUGUAACACAGAUUGAUGAAAGAUUCUGCAGGACGACAAAGGUUAAAGAUGUAGACCCGGAGCUAGAAGCCAGCACUGACACUGAUGGAGUGGACUGCGAUGAGAAUGCCCACAUUAUUGUCCUAUCCUCUGAUAACCAAUGUAAUAUGAAAACCGACUACAGAAGAAAGGAACAAAUUAAAUCCAUUAAUCAAGCAUAUCUCUGCUAAACAGUUGUUCGAAACUGAUGAACAAAUGAAAAAUUUACUGUUUGUUUUCAUGCUUGCAAGGAUUGGGGAAGAAAAUUAAUUAUAAGGUACUGGCCACACUAUCAGUAAAGUUUUUCUUGAGGAAACUAUUGCUUUGUCAAAGGACAAAUGAACCUCAUUAGGGAGAUUAGUUUCAGCUGGUAGUUUUGCAUUAGUACAAACUAAUAAUACACACUUCAAAAGAUACCCUGAGUAAGAUUAUGAAAAUUGAAAUCCAUUUGUUACUUCUUAAUUUACUAACUGUUAGAAAAUGACCACUCUAUUACUUAUCAUGAAACCAGAAGGAAAUCAAACACUGCUCACCUUUCAACUAAGUGCCUGAAAGAGAACUGUUGCAGUGUGGGCUUUGUGAGUGCUGCGAUGAUGAACUUACGCAUACAGGGGUUAUAACUUGGCCACGGCAUUUUACUCUUAGGUUGAAGCAUGUCAUGCAGAGCUCCAUGCCAAACGCAAUUUUUGAUAAGCUUCUUUGAAAUCCUUUUCUUUUCAAAUGUUUUAAAUGAAUUGGACAAAUAGCAAACUGACAUCUGAUAUUCUGAAUUCCCCUUAAAUCUAUACAGAGCAAGAACAGAAAAGAGAAAACGCUACUUUGCUAUCAAUCCUGUAUGGCCAGUGCACUGAGGCUCCUAAGCUGGCCACAGUGAGUGCAGUCCAGCUUCAAUGUUCAUUGAAUCCCUGGCCUUUCUGUCAAGGCAGCUAAGAACAGAGCCAAUCACUGCUCUCGGUGACGGGGAGUGCUUGGCUGCAGACACACGUCUUCCAAAACCUGGAGUGAGACCAGUCUCAUUCCAAAGAGUGUAUAAAUCAGCUGUGAAAUAAUAAUGACUUUUUUGGGUUCUACUGACCCGGCCUGGAUUCAGACUGCUGACCCAGAAAAGAAAGGCUUCACACAUCCCAUUAGCAGUCCUUUCAGCCAUUGAAGACAUCCCCAUCCAAUUCUGACUUUCUUUCCUUUACAGCAGUCUUGCUCUUUUUUACGGGCAUGUAAACCAAAUUGACGUUUACUUACUGCUUUUGUUUGGUUCCUUGAUGUAACUUCUCUAAUUUAACAGCAGCUUUCCAGGCAUAGCGUUUGAAUGAAUCAGGCCAAAUAACAUUAAAGUUCACUUUCUCAAAGCUUAAACUCUGUUACCGAGAAAAGAUGGGGGUAGAGUUUUAAAGUAUUCUUCUUAGUAUAAAACUAAACGUUUUUCUCUAGACAUAUUGUCUCGUGAUAUUUUUAAAAGCCAGCAUUAUUUUUUUUUCAGGAAAGUUAAGUCAGUCUAUAACAGUGAUUCCACGGUUUACCCUGUUGUCCUGGAGUGGGUAGGAGCUUUCAGGAGUAGCUAAGGGUUUUCUUUUUCCAAAGUAAGUGUGUCAAGUUGAAAGAAAAUUACAGGUUGUGGGACUGAGAAGUUAGAUAAUAUAAGGGCUCUUCUAAUGAAAAAAAAAAAUCCAAAUUUGCAAAUACUAAACAGAUGUCUUAGUUUGAGUUUUCCGAAGCAAAUUCCAAGAGGAGAAUAUGGGUACAAUUUGCUUAUAUGAGAAGUGAUUCCAGAAGCACAACGAAAUCAUGAAGUGGUGACAUGGAGACGGAAGAAAGCCAAUAAAAGGGUGGUAAACAAUGAGGAAUACCACUCUGAGCAAUUGGGGCUCAGUCUUGCUGUGGGGCCCUCUGGAAGACAUUUUAGAUAACGCCUCAGGGUGCCAAACCAGGAGGCAAACACUGGAGUGUAUACUACUCCUAUUCCUAACAGACUGAGGAUUGUUCCUGGGGGUAGUAAUUUCCCAGCAUUUCCAGCCUUCUCUGUCUUUGCAUAUGUUCAUGGGCAGUGUAUAUUCCUUAGAAAACCCUAAGGAAGGGAAAGGCUUAGGUGGAAGCCAUAGACGUGUACAGGAGCCAUCCAGCAAAGCCCCCGUUGAGCUCCAGUGUAAGCUUAGGGUAGAGAAGGAUACUAGAAACAUGUGACAGCUUCUCCACUAGAUAUCAAAUUGAAUAUUUAAUUAAAUAAAUCACAACAAAUCCCAAAUAUUAAAAGAUGACAAAUGUGGUCAUUUCAUACUCACCAACAUGAAGGUCGGUAUGACAGAGGAGAAGUCAGGAGAGGUGUGAUAACAGGCCUAAAUGACUGCUGCCAAGAAUCUUAUUGUUGCAAUAGUAAAAUAAUAAAGAUAAUGACAAUAAUACCUUAUGAGCACACUGCUACAGUCUUUCUCAGUGUCUCAAAAGAAAUCUGUGUGAGAGCCCCUCAAACGUGGGCUUCAAAAACUUCUUGGUAAAUUUCCCAUGGCUGCUAUUACUGAGUUUCUCUAAUAUCCUAUGUAUGUGUAGCUCUGAAAUUAAGUUGAAUAUCAUUUUUCAAAGCAUUUCUGAACAGCAAGAAUAACAACAAUGAAAAAUAGAAAAAUCACUCAAAACAUUUAUUUUAAUAUAUGCACAUACUUAUGAUAAUUGAUAAGCCAUAAUUU